rnacentral:snRNA from 1 species
AUCAAUUCUCGAUCUUUUGGCUAAGAUCAAGUGUAGUAUUUGGUCUUAUCAGUUUAAUAUCUUAUAUGUGGCUCACUGGGUCACACGAUAUUAAAUUACUUUUUAGGAUAGGGUCGGGCCACUACAGUAGCUUGCUACUGGCCUUUUCGUUGAUGCAUUGCAUUAUUGCUUUUGGGAUGGCGCACCCCAC